GAAUUUUUUUCUGUGUUGGUGUUGUGUACUCAGGUGAAUAAUAUGUGAUACUCAGGUGAAUAAUAUGAAAAACAUAUUAUUCACCUGAAUACACAACACCAACACAGAAAAAAAAUCA